GACGAACGCUGGCGGCGUGCUUAACACAUGCAAGUCGAACGGAAAGGCCCUGCUUUUGUGGGGUGCUCGAGUGGCGACCGGGUGAGUAACACGUGAGUAACCUGCCCUUGACUUUGGGAUAUCUUCAGGAAACUGGGGCUAAUCCCGGAUAGGAGCUCCUGCUGCAUGGUGGGGGUUGGAAAGUUUCGGCGGUUGGGGAUGGACUCGCGGCUUAUCAGCUUGUUGGUGGGGUAGUGGCUUACCAAGGCUUUGACGGGUAGCCGGCCUGAGAGGGUGACCGGCCACGUUAGGACUGAGAUACGGCCCAGACUCCUACGGUAGGCAACGGUGGGGAAUAUUACACAAUGGGCGGAAGCCUGAUGCAGCAACGCCGCGUGCGGGAUGACGGCCUGCGGGUAGUAAACCGCUUUCGCCUGUGACGAAGCGUGAAUGACGGUAAUGGGUGAAGAAGCACCGGCUAACUACGUG
rnacentral:rRNA from 1 species